GGAGUAUGGGCCGUGUCUCAGUCCCAUUGUGGCUGAUCAUCCUCUCAAACCAGCUACUGAUCGUCGCCUUGGUGGUCCAUUACACCCCCAACUAGCUAAUCAGAUGCAGACUCAUCCCAGAGCACCGGAGUUUUCACGAAUAGCAUCUCAGCUACGCGCAUAUGCGGUAUUAGCAGAUGUUUCCAUCUGUUGUCCCACUCUCUAGGGCAGAUUCUCUACAUUUUACUCACCCGUCCGCCACUUAUGUAUCUCCGAAGAGACCUUAUCGUUCGACUUGCAUGUAUGAAGCACGCCGCCAGCGUUCGUC
rnacentral:rRNA from 1 species